rnacentral:lncRNA from 1 species
AAAAGAACAAACAGGAAUUUUUUGUCACCCGAAGGAAUUUAUUAAAUUAGCAGGAAAUAAUGAUAAAAGAAGUGGAGUAAAUUUAAAAUUUGGAGAUGG